GCAUAAUGUUUUCUUUAACAGUCAUGGUGGUUGGGGCAGGAGCUGAGCAGCUUGCCCAGGCAGAGGACCAGUCGAGGACCUGCUCUGAGCCUUUGAUCUGGCUGCCAGCUCAGGUUCCCCCACAAAGCAGGACUGUGCCUCACCUGGAGCUCUGUUGGAUUGCUGUGCAGCUGCUCAAAGAGCAGAACCGAGGCAUGUUCUCAGCUUGCUCUUCCUGCCUUGUGGCUUUAAAGCACAGAACACUACCUUACCUCCAACAGCCCUGUCUAACCUGACUCCAAAUGCUCCUCCACCCCCUGGAGCAGGGGACUCACUGAAUCAGGAUAGCCCAGCUUUGGUUUGAGAAAUGCUGCCUCCUCCAAAAAACACCCAGAACAUUUCCAUGGCCACACCAAUCCUGUAGAGGCCUCAACAAAAGGAAAAUCAGACCUGUAAAUGUCCAAGAUGACUUUUCAGUUGGGCUCCAGCUGUGGAGUUGGGCUCAGGACCUGAAUCUUUGGUGAGGUACACCUUGACAUUCAUACUGUUACAAAAUCAGGCCAAAUCCACACAAAUGAGAAUAUGCCAGCUCCUAAUUUGAGUUCUGGGAAUGAAGUUUGUCUUCGUUUGUGCCCAUCCAUCAUUUCAAAUGGAGCUAUCUUGUGACAGCCACAUUUGGUAGUCUCUGCCUGGGAGAUAAUUGCUCAUCACUGAGGGGAACUCACACAGCUGAGAUAACCCUCAGGCACUUUCUCUGCAGGGAUGGGAGCACCAGAGGCAAAGCAAUUAACAGAGCAAUUAAGACACUAGCCAAUCAUAUCUCUUUUCUUUCCCCUCAUCUCAGACUUGUGCUACUCUCCAGUGCCUCUAAAACCAAUGAAGGAAAGGCCCUGCUCUCUAGAGGGAUAAUUCCCUCAGGUGGGCUGGGGUUGAGAUUAGUCUCCAUCCCCUGUUCCUGGCCCUUACUCAUCACGAGCCUGGGUUUGUUGGACAUGGCUUGACUACUGCAAACAGAACCAGUGGUCAUUUCCUUUCCUGAGAGCCAAGAAACCCCAAUGGUCACUUAGAGCUCUUCCCUGUAUUCUGCUCCUUCCCCUCACCAGGCUUGUUCUCCAGGUAAUAAAUCAAUUUUUUCAGAAGCA
rnacentral:lncRNA from 1 species